CCUACGGGGGGCAGCAGUGGGGAAUAUUGCACAAUGGGCGCAAGCCUGAUGCAGCGACGCCGCGUGAGGGAUGACGGCCUUCGGGUUGUAAACCUCUUUCGCCAGGGACGAAGCGUAAGUGACGGUACCUGGAGAAGAAGCACCGGCCAACUACGUGCCAGCAGCCGCGGUAAUACGUAGGGUGCGAGCGUUGUCCGGAAUUACUGGGCGUAAAGAGCUCGUAGGCGGUUUGUCGCGUCGUCUGUGAAAUUCUGCAACUCAAUUGCAGGCGUGCAGGCGAUACGGGCAGACUUGAGUACUACAGGGGAGACUGGAAUUCCUGGUGUAGCGGUGAAAUGCGCAGAUAUCAGGAGGAACACCGGUGGCGAAGGCGGGUCUCUGGGUAGUAACUGACGCUGAG
rnacentral:rRNA from 1 species